ACCUUCCUCUUGCUGAUUGCUUCUUUCCAUUUUCUUUCUCCCUGGCCUAGAAAGGAAGUGUCCUCCAGGCACUUACGGAUCCCAUCAGAUCAACUCCAAGUCUUCCUCACCACGGAUAGCAGCUGCAGUCUAUCCAUCUGCUGUGCUCCGGUGUCUUCUGUUUCUCUCUUCGCUUGUGGCGUCCGUUGGGUCUGUUGGCCUUGAUCCUUUCUCAGGUCUCGACUUUGAUCUUUAAUUCUCCAUCACACAUCUGCUGCUUUGGCCUUUGUGGUUGUAGACUGAACUCCAGGCAGAUUGCCGAAUGUGGUUCCGAGGAGACGUGGGAAACAGCAGCUCGUAAAAUAAGACGGAAAGGCAUUGAAGAGCUCAGGGGGGCCGAGGCAGAAUUCCCUCAGUGAAGCUGAUUGGCCCAGAGUGGCAAUUUCAAAUUUGAAUCAAGGUUUUCCGCCAAAAAAAGAGAGUGCGAUUUGGUGAUCCAAACUUCAAAGAAACUGUUCUAAAAUGGUAUGGAGAAGCAGAGAGUGAUCCGAAAGUGGAAUCGGAUUGAGACGAAAAUUUUGAAAUGGAUGAUGAGGAACCCACAGCAGCUGCCGAUUCUGACAUCAGCGACGAUGAAGCUCCCGAUGAAAUUGAUGACCAGAGAUAAUUGCGAGAAGCCCCAAGGAUGUCCCCGCAUCCCUCCUUCUGGUGUGUAGUUGAUUUCCCACCCACCCACC